GUCGGCAGCCAUAUCACCCUGUAAGCCCAAGACUGGUUGCCCACUGAAGCUAAGCAGAGUUGAGCCUGGUCAGUACCUGGAUGGGAGACUUCCUGGGAAAACUAGGUUGCUGCUGGAA
rnacentral:rRNA from 1 species